GAGGUUCAGGGUAGAGUUAAUGAACUGUAUGUGGAAAUGUAUUAAGAUUUAAGCUAACACUUCUCAUAAGCUAUUAUAGCUUACAGCAAUCUGAGAAAACAUACCUUUGUGAAGAGAAUUGAGGCAUUUACUUUUUCUCCCUACCUGGUCCCUCCAGAAUUCAUUUAUUACCAAAUGCUUCGUGUGCCUGCAGAAUUCCGUUGAGAGACUACACGCCCCAGGAAACCCUGCAGUACAAGCUUGAAGUACUACCGCUGAGGUCGCCACCGUUGUCUCAGGGCCAGUGGCGCAAUGGAUAACGCGUCUGACUACGGAUCAGAAGAUUCCAGGUUCGACUCCUGGCUGGCUCGAGGAG